AAGGCUUUGAAAUUAUACAUAUUUCUGCAGAAGAACAACCCUUCAACAAAGGAGACAGUCAUCCUGGAAUGCGUUCUCAAGACACGACAUAGACUGGCGACGAGGGUGGGAUCCUGCCAGCAAGGAACAAGCUCCUGCCUGACAGCAACGUAAUUCACCUGCUGACGGAUUAUGCACAGAUAGUUGAAGAGCAGCCGGUUGGGACGGUAUGGCGAAGGCGACCAUGAGUCUGCAGCUACGGCAAGUAGAACAUUUCGACAGUUCUACGAGCGAUUAAACUAGCUACGAAGAAUGCGUGCACGCAUACCUUCGAGCCAAUAAUGUUCCAGAGGGUAGACGCGUACAUCAGCAUAUUGCGUCCACAGACGAAUUCGCUCCUCAAGUUGCUCGCCACUUCAGAUAAGCCGUCCUUGAAGUCCCUGGAAAGCUUGUGCGAGCUGCUUCGUAAACAUUUGGCCCCUGAAUGGUCAGUCAUAGGUGAGUGUGCGAAGUUUCAUCGCCGAGGGCAGAAGGAACACGAAAUGAUACCUUAGUAUGUGGCGGAGUUACGGGCAUUGGCGCAAACAUGCGAGUUUGGUACAUUUCUUGACGAGCUGCUUCGAGACAGAUUUGUGUGCGGUUUGCUCAGAGUCGACAUUCAAACACACUUGUUUUCGGAAGACAAGAAUCUACGAGCCUUUGACCGUGCAACAGCUUUGGAAGCUGUGCUCGCUAAUGCUACAGCUGCUCAUUCAAAGCCUGAAAGCGAGUUUGGGGUGCAUCAGUUGCCUACCAGGGGAACAACGAAAUGCUUCUGCUGUAACUCAGCUCACACUGCCAAUGCGUGUCCGCACGUAAAUGCGACUUGCUUUUUCUGCAACAAGAAAGGGCACAUUCAAAAAGCCUGCCUAAUGCGGCAAGGAAAAUUGCAGCUGAAGCUAACAGUACAGAACGUUCGGGUGUUACAACCGUCAGAACCACCCCUGCAAAGUGUUGCAACGAAAGAGGUAGAGACAGGAGACUCCAUCAUGCUCAGCUUAAUCAUCGAGGGUGUUCCCUUGCAGAUGGAGCUUGAUACGGGAGCCGCCGUUUCGGUAAUGUCCCUAGGUCAGUUCCGCUCACUUUUUCCGGCAGUACCUCUGAGGCAAACUAAGUUGAUGCUCAGGACUUAUACGAGCGAACCUGUGAAGCCAUGUGAUGUUUGUUUUCUUUGAGUUGAUCACAACGAUCAGUGUCAGUGCUUGUUGCUGUACGUGCUUCCCCAGAGCGGGCAAGUGGCUUCAGCAAGUGCACAUCGAUUGGAGCCAAGUUCGCGGCCUGCAACAGCUACAGGGGGGAGACAUUACUAAGCGCUCAACGACUUCCCGAGCUACAAUCCUUGCUUGACCGCCAUAAGGACCUCUUCAGGAACGAGCUAGGCACCAUCCGAGGGGAGAAGGCGACUUGUUUUCAAAGGUGGGAAGACACCAAAAUUUUUCAAAGCUAGAAGCAUUCCGUUUUCUCUAAAGAGUACUGUUGAGCAAGAGUUGUCUAGACAAGAACAGAUGGGCAUAUUGACACCGGUAACGAGUAGCAAGUGUGCCACUUCGGUGGUGCCAGUUUUGAAGCGGGACGGGUCAAUAAGAGUAUGCGGUGAUUACAAGCUGACACUGAACCCCAUACUAGACAUAGAACAUUACCCCUUACCCAAGCCUGACAAGCUGUUUGCAGCCCUCGCUGGUGGACAGCAAUUUUCUAAAAUUGAUCUUAAGAGGGUGUACCAUCAAGUAGAAAUAGAUCGAGAGUCAAAACAGUACUUUAUGCUUAACACCCACAAGGGUCUUUACGCCAUGAAUCAUCUACCCUUUGGAAUUGCUUCGGCACCUGCAAUAUUCCAAAAAAUAAUGGAUAAUAUCUUGAAGGGCCUCGACUGUGUUUUGCUACAUUGACUAUAUCCUAAUUACGGGUCACUCAAAGAAAGAACACUUGCAGAACUUUGACGCAGUUCUCAAAAGACUAUCAGAACGCAGAAUUUGCGUCAAGCCAUCGAAGUGCGAAUUCUUUCGUGACGAGCUGGCUUAUCUGGGCCAUGUAAUCAACAAACACGGCAUCCAACCAACGGAUGAAAAACUGGCCGCGAUAACCAAUGCACCGCGCCAACUGAUAAGCACGAACUUCAAUUGCUGCUGGGCCUCAUCAACUACUAUGGAAAGCUCGUUCCAAACUUAUCCACCAUUCUUUUCCCCUUAAAUAGGCUCUUGCAGAAAGACGUCGCCUGGAAUUGGAACACGGGUUGCGAUCGCGCCUUUCAGCACAUCAAGCAGCUGCUUUCGUCAGCUCCUAUCUUGGCACACUAUGAUCCAGGCCUGCCCCUGCAGUUAUCUUGUGAUGCGUCCGCCUACGGGGUAGGUGCCGUGUUGUCGCACAUUUUUCUGACGAUCAGAUAAGGCCAAUAGCAUAUGCCUCACGCACCUUGAGUCGUGCUGAGAAAGGCUAUAGGCAAUUAGAAAAAGAAGCCUUAGCUCUUGUGUUCGGCGUUAAAAAACUCCAUUAUUACGUGUAUGCAAGGCAUUUUGUUUUGAUUACGGACCACAAGCCUUUGGCUACAAUUUUUGCUGGCAUGCCAGCAAUUGCCGCCGCAAGACUACAACGAUGGGCAGUUGGUUUGUCGGCCCGUUCUUUUUCAUUAAAGUUCCCGCCUUCUGCACAGAAUGCUGACGCAGAUUGCUUGUCUAGGCUGCCAAUAACACAACCGACGAUCGAAGAGCAGGAAGAAUCUUUUUAUGACCUAUGCUUCGACACUACGCCGAUCAACAGCAAUGAUAUUGCUCGUGAAACUUCACGUGAUGCUACCUUGCGUACUGUGACCCAUCAUAUCCUGUCAGGCUGGCCGCAUAGUGUCCCGAAUGAAAUCAAACCAUUCUUUCAUAGAAGACUAGAACUGUCCAUACAUCGAGGAUGCAUUAUGCUGGGAAUGCGUGUACUUGUUCCCGAAAAAUUUCGCACGUUUAUUUUGGACGAGUUGCACCAAGGUAAUCCAGGUGUUGUUCGCACCAAAGAACUAGCAAGGAGCUAUGUUUGGUGGCCUACUAUCGAUAGUGACAUAGAGCGUUUCACCGCGUCUUGCACCGCUUACGUGUCUAAUCGUAAUCUGCCGCCUAAAGCGCCCUUGCAUCCUUGGGCACGGCCUAUGUGCCCUUGGCAAUGGUUGCAUGUAGAUUUUGCUGGCCUGAUAAACGAAGUGACGUACCUCGUGGUGGUUGAUGCACAUUCAAGAUGGCCAGAAGUGUUUCCAAUGCAGACAACCACCACUGAAGCAACCAUUUCAUGCCUACAUGAACUGUUUUGCAGAUUGGGAUUUCCCGAGACUUUAGUGUCCGACAACGG